rnacentral:rRNA from 1 species
GAAACCCGGUGAUCUAAGCCUGUCCAGGAUGAAGCUGUGGUAAGACACAGUGGAGGUCCUAACCCACCGCCGUUGAAAAGUUGGGGGAUGAGGUAGGUUUAGGGGUGAAAAGCCAAUCGAACCGGGAGAUAGCUCGUUCUCUCCGAAAUGCAUCUAGGUGCAGCCUUGCGUGUUUAAUGAUGGGGGUAGAGCACUGACUGAACUAGGGGGCAUAUAGCUUACUGAAUUCAAUCAAACUCCGAAUACCAUUAUUCA